rnacentral:piRNA from 1 species
UGUCACCUGAUGUGGAAAUAGGUC